rnacentral:rRNA from 1 species
CCUACUGUCUGCUGCAGUGAGGAAUAUUGGUCAAUGGACGAGAGUCUGAACCAGCCAAGUAGCGUGAAGGAUGACUGCCCUAUGGGUUGUAAACUUCUUAUAUAUGGGAAUAAAAUGUUCCACGUGUGGGAUUUUGUAUGUACCAUAUGAAUAAGGAUCGGCUAACUCCGUGCCAGCAGCCGCGGUAAUACGGAGGAUCCGAGCGUUAUCCGGAUUUAUUUGGUUUAAAGGGAGCGUAGGUGGAUUGUUAAGUCAGUUGUGAAAGUUUGCGGCUCAACCGUAAAAUUGCAGUUGAAACUGGCAGUCUUGAGUACAGUAGAGGUGGGCGGAAUUCGUGGUGUAGCGGUGAAAUGCUUAGAUAUCACGAAGAACUCCGAUUGCGAAGGCAGUUCACUGGACUGCAACUGACACUGAGGCUCGAAAGUGUGGGUAUCAAACAGGAUUAGAUACCCGGGUAGUC